rnacentral:lncRNA from 1 species
AAAAAAACAUGUUGAAAGCAUAGUAUGAAUGAAUGGAAUAAAAGAUGAAAAUAAUGCAAGGCAAUCAUGGAAAUGUCCACGGCUGGAAUCGAACUGUGUUGAAUUUUGAAAGUGGCGCGUUUCCUAAUGAAACGCACCGUUUCAUUAAGUCCAUGUGGCACGGCUAACUCACAACAACCAAUCAAAAUGCCAAUCAGGAUACACGCAGGACCAGUACAUGGCUGUUAACAUAAAACACAUGCAACCAAGCGCUAUCAUGGAUCAAACACGCUUCUGGACAGAAAACCCUAGGUUCUUCAUCAUGUUCAUCACAUUCAUACGCUCAAGAAA